GAUGAACGCUGGCGGCGUGCCUAAUACAUGCAAGUCGAGCGAACAGAUAAGGAGCUUGCUCCUUUGACGUUAGCGGCGGACGGGUGAGUUACACGUGGAUAACCUACCUCUAAGACUGGGAUAACUUCGGGAAACCGGAGCUAAUACCGGAUAACAUAUUGAACCGCAUGGUUCAAUAGUGAAAGGCGGCUUUGCUGUCACUUAUAGAUGGAUCCGCGCCGUAUUAGCUAGUUGGUAAGGUAACGGCUUACCAAGGCAACGAUACGUAGCCGACCUGAGAGGGUGAUCGGCCACACUGGAACUGAGACACGGUCCAGACUCCUACGGGAGGCAGCAGUAGGGAAUCUCCCGCAAUGGGCGAAAGCCUGACGGAGCAACGCCGCGUGAGUGAUGAAGGUCUUCGGAUCGUAAAACUCUGUUAUCAGGGGAGAACAAAUGUGUAAGUAACUGUGCACAUCCUGACGGUACCUGAUCAGAAAGCCACGGCUAACUACGUG
rnacentral:rRNA from 1 species